UACGAGUGCCCCAAGCGUUAUCCGGAAUUAUUGGGCGUAAAGGGCGCGUAGGCGGCCUUCUAAGUCAGACGUGAAAUCCCUCGGCUCAACCGAGGAACUGCGUCUGAUACUGGAAGGCUGGAAUCCGGGAGAGGGAUGUGGAAUUCCAGGUGUAGCGGUGAAAUGCGUAGAUAUCUGGAGGAAUACCGGUGGCGAAGGCGGCAUCCUGGACCGGUAUUGACGCUGAGGCGCGAAAGCUAGGGGAGCAAACGGG
rnacentral:rRNA from 1 species